UACGGAGGGGGCUAGCGUUGUUCGGAAUUACUGGGCGUAAAGCGCGCGUAGGCGGACCUGCAAGUCGGGGGUGAAAGCCCGAGGCUCAACCUCGGAACUGCCUUCGAUACUGCGGGUCUCGAGUCCGGGAGAGGUGAGUGGAAUUCCUAGUGUAGAGGUGAAAUUCGUAGAUAUUAGGAAGAACACCAGUGGCGAAGGCGGCUCACUGGCCCGGUACUGACGCUGAGGCGCGAAAGCCGUGGGGAGCAAACAGG
rnacentral:rRNA from 1 species